GACGAACGCUGGCGGCGUGCUUAACACAUGCAAGUCGGGCGGAAAGGCCACUUCGGUGGUACUCGAGCGGCGAACGGGUGAGUAACACGUGAGUAAUCUGCCCUUCACUCUGGGAUAGCCACCGGAAACGGUGAUUAAUACCGGAUACGACCACUCCACGCAUGUGGUGGUGGUGGAAACUUUUCUGGGUGGGGGAUGUGCUCGCGGCCUAUCAGCUUGUUGGUGGGGUAAUGGCCUACCAAGGCUUCGACGGGUAGCCGGCCUGAGAGGGUGACCGGCCACACUGGGACUGAGAUACGGCCCAGACUCCUACGGGAGGCAGCAGUAGGGAAUUUUGCGCAAUGGGGGAAACCCUGACGCAGCAACGCCAUGUGUGGGAUGAAGCAUUUCGGUGUGUAAACCACUGUCGGCAGGGAAUAAAGUCCGCGCUUGCGCGGAGGUGAAUGUACCUGCAGAGGAAGCCCCGGCUAACUUCGUGCCAGCCGCCGCGGUAAUAC
rnacentral:rRNA from 1 species